rnacentral:rRNA from 1 species
AGGAGUGAACGCUGGCGGCGUGCUUAACACAUGCAAGUCGAACGAGGGUUGCUGGUUGAAGUUUCGGAUGGAAACCGGUAAUUCCUAGUGGCGGACGGGUGAGUAACGCGUGGGGAACCUGCCCCGCUCCGGGGGAUACCAGCUGGAAACGGCUGUUAAUACCGCAUAAGCGCACAGCAUUGCAUGAUGCAGUGUGAAAAAACUCCGGUGGAACGGGAUGGCCCCGCGUCUGAUUAGCCAGUUGGCAGGGUAACGGCCUACCAAAGCGACGAUCAGUAGCCGGCCUGAGAGGGCGACCGGCCACAUUGGGACUGAGACACGGCCCAAACUCCUACGGGAGGCAGCAGUGGGGAAUAUUGCACAAUGGGGGAAACCCUGAUGCAGCCGACGCCGCGUGAGUGAGGAAGUAUUUCGGUAUGUAAAGCUCUAUCAGCAGGGAAGAAGAUGACGGUACCUGCACAAGAAGCCCCGGCUAACUACGUGCCAGCCGCAGC